rnacentral:rRNA from 1 species
GGUGGAAGUGCAGCAAUGCAUGCAGCCGACCGGUACUAAUAGGCCGAGGACUUGACCACAA